rnacentral:rRNA from 1 species
CGUGAAAUUGUUGAAAGGGAAGCGCUUGUGACCAGGCUUGCGUCCGGUGAAUCACCCAGCUCUCGCGGCUGGGGCACUUCGCCGGCACAGGCCAGCAUCAGCUUGCCGUCGGGGACAAAAGCUUCAGGAACGUAGCUCUCUUCGGGGAGUGUUAUAGCCUGUUGCAUAAUACCCUUCGGCGGGCUGAGGUACGCGCUCCGCAAGGAUGCUGGCGUAAUGGUCAUCAGCGACCCGUCUUGAAACACGG